rnacentral:rRNA from 1 species
UACGUAGGGUGCGAGCGUUGUCCGGCUUUAUUGGGCGUAAAGAGCUCGUAGGCGGUUUGUCGCGUCGGCCGUGAAAUCUCCACGCUUAACGUGGAGCGUGCGGUCGAUACGGGCAGACUUGAGUUCGGUAGGGGAGACUGGAAUUCCUGGUGUAGCGGUGAAAUGCGCAGAUAUCAGGAGGAACACCGGUGGCGAAGGCGGGUCUCUGGGCCGAUACUGACGCUGAGGAGCGAAAGCGUGGGGAGCGAACAGG